rnacentral:misc_RNA from 1 species
AACGCACAUUGCGCCCUCUGGUAUUCCGGGGGGCACACCUGUUCGAGCGUCAUUUCACAAAUCAAGCCCUGCUUGGUAUUGGGUGAGGCCCUAUCUGGGCCCGCCUCAGACCCCUCGGCGUCGCCGCCCGUCCUCGAGCGCAGCGAGAUAACUUUCCAGCGUUUUCGAUGCGGGCCACGUCUGCCGCAGAACACACCUUUUUUUCUAUCAAGGUUGACCUCGGAUCAGGUGGGGAUACCCGCUGAACUUAA